CUCUGGGGCCAAAAUGAGCUGUUGUUAGAUUACUGCUUUCCUUAUACAGCACGGGAGAUGGAAAGUUGUUUAGAAAAUGGCAACAGACAAGUGGGAGAACUUCAAAAUAAGUUUGUGAGACAAGAAACAUUGCCAGCCAAUGCUGAAAAGGAAUAUAAAAUGGAUCAUCGAGGGAGAAGAAGAUAGCUAAUCACAGCUCUCCUACCACAGCAGCAGGAUCUCUUACAGGUUUCAUUAAACACAUAAAUCAAAAGUGUCCUCAUACAGGAUAGAACAAGAUCAAGAUUCAAGUACACUGCUAUUUUACAAGACAAUGGGAAAAUAAUUGGAACUCCAACUGGUUAGUUGAUACAAUGUUCCCAAAUUAGAAAGUUGCAGCUUUAGAAUAGUCUUGAUGAAGGAAUGCUAUGUUCAACAGGGGCCCAUGAAGACGGUAUGAUAGGAUGCAUUUUAUGCACUCCUCACACCAAGGAUUCUGGAAAGAGUUGAGGUAUUCCAGAUUCAUGAGAUGAUUUGGUAGGAAUUUGCAAAAAUGAAAACAAAUAGAUAUCAAGAAAAGAAGAUCAAGUUUUGAGAGGAAAUAAGGACCUUGGAAUGGAAUAACUGCCAUUCAUGUGAUCUUCUAUCUGGAGAAAGGAAUAUGUGGAAUUGUUUUUAUUUGAUGAUGACAUGAUAUGUAAAUUCCCCAAGCUCUACCAAACCCAAUGAUAUAAGAAUUAAUGAAUGAACUCAAUAAAGUGCAGGAUAUAAAAAUCAA